AUAAGAGAUCUUAUGCAGAGAACCUACUACACUCAAAGGAAAGAAAUAAACCAGGGAAAAGACCUACAAAUUAUGGUGAAGGAGUGGCCCUUCCUGUUUCAGGAAAUUGGUAUGACGAUCCACUUCCAGGAGCUUACUGGAGUAAAUCUACUAGAGACUUUCCAUAAAAAUCUCGAAAAAAAGGGUAAAGACUUCUGGACUACUUAAGGACUGUCUCGGCCCACAAAAUUAAACGAGUUCUUCAAACUGUCCGAAACCUGGAUAUUCUGAGAGGACAGGUCCAGGGCUGCUCUAAAGAGUUGAAAGAUCUUGUCCUCCUCCUUCUGUCUCAUUUCAAUGACAAAGAGGAAACCCUCUUCCACUAUGUAGAUGAGACAUGCCUAGCAGGAGAAGUAAAAGUGGACAACUUGCCUGUCACACCAUGCUUGAUUGUAUGUGGAACCUCCUGUUAUACUUCCAAGAAUUUUAUGCUUGGCAUUGACGGCAAUGUUGUGAAUGACCAAAUACCAACCUUCACAUCCGCUAUAUGUCUAAUGUUAGCAAGUUACUUUUGCUUCAACAUUCAUUAUCCGACUCAUCUGGCCUCCACACUUGAUUUCAUUCAGAGGUGCUUCCUAAACAUCAAUCCAGACCGGGGGACAAAAGUUGAAACCAAGAAGAAUAAGAAGAACGUG